GGUACUAUAGCUCAGUGGUCAGAGCGCCAGGCAAACGGCCUGGAGGUCAUCGGUUCGAAUCCGGUUGGUACAACUA
rnacentral:tRNA from 1 species